rnacentral:misc_RNA from 1 species
AGGAGUUAGUGACAAGGAGGGCUCGCUCUUGGGGCUAGUGGUGGGGAGGCAGUGGCCAGUUCAGGGCUCAGAUGAGAGAGGUGGCAGAAUUAGAGGCAGCCACUAGGAUGGGGGUGCGAGGAGAAGCGGGGCUAAGUAUAAAGGAGACUAGAUUUUGGGACAGUGGACGUGUGGAAGGCAGCUUCCAAAGCGCCUUUAACAAUCCACAAAGAACCAGCAGCUUUCAAGACCAGGCUAUCCCUGCUGUCUGCUGGCACUUGACGUCCAGGAGGGCACAAGUUUCACAGGCCUACAUGGGGGCAGUGUCCUAACUUGAGUGGCAGAGCAGCAGUUGAUGGAGACGGGUGGACUGGGGGCCCUUGAAGGCCCCGGAAAUCAUAGAGGACAGGCAGUGGGGCAGGACUAGGUGCGUAGUGGAGGUCGCCUUUGAUCUUGACAAAACCAGCAGACCCCUUUUUUUCCAGAUAAGGGGUUGUGAACCCACCUGGGGAUGAGGCCUGGUCUUAUGGAAGGUGGACUUAGCUUCGCUGGGCGGACAGCUCUGGCCCAGGGUGGUAUGUAAUUUGGGUGUGGCCUGUCUGCACCCACUUCGGGGUGCGAGGGGAGGCCGGAGGAGGCUGCAGAGACAAGUUGUUUUUACUGUCAGGUCUGCCAGGCGGGGACCAUGGAGAUUGAAGGCGCAAGUCUUGGGGCCACAUUAAUCACAACUUUAUUUUUCAGAUAGCAGUGCCCUCUCUGGACUUUGCCUAGGUUCCGUGCUUCCUCUUCUGUGGUCUCACUCUUCCCUACUCUUGCCCCUCACUCUGAGGUUAAGGGGUCACUUAAAACCUUGCCCCUGGGUCGUCCGGUAAGCCUGUGGAGGAUGUAGAGUCGGUGCUGGAGUCUUGGGCACGGCAUUUUGGUAAAGGUGGAGGACACCCUGACUGGGCGGGGAGGGAUGGUGUUGAUUCACAGAGGGCGGGACGUGAGUGUGGACCCUGGGGUGGGCUCACAGCCAUGUUUCCGGUCACCCAAAUGCUUCAUGGACGUGGUUUAUCACUAUAGUGUUCACCAUGGCAAGCAGAUGGCACCAGGAGAUAUGGAGCCCCUGCCAGUGUGAGUCGUAGCAGUGCAGGAGGGCUCACCCUGGAGGAGACAGCGGCCUCGGUUGACGCCUACACAGUGAAUUCCAGAGGCUUAGGAAGCGCGUCCCUGCCCUGGGUCCAGGCCUUUCUCAGGAAGCCCUGUGCUCAGGAGGCCAUCGUUGAAGUCAGCUUGUAGGGGGUGGGCAGGUGCUUCCAGCCGGAGGGGCCGUCGGCUGUGAAUGUUCCAGAUGAAUGUCUUGUUCUGGGAGCAUCAUUCUUUGCGGAUGCAUGAAUGGCAGCAGGCACCCUUUUUCAUGGGGGUAGAGGCGUUCGACUGCUGCAUCUUCUAAACAAGCCUCCAUCCAGCCUUUGUAGUUCUGUGCUGCGAACUUGGCCUCGAGAAGAUUGCGUAAGGUGUAGGACACUUUAACGUCUGCGCAGCGUGCUGCACUGUAGAUCGGGACCCCAGUGACCUCGCCCACCUUCCCUGCUUCUGCAGCCUGCCUGCCUCUGCAUUGGUCAGAGGGAUUCUUAACUGAAAACUUGUGGGUGUUGGGGAAAGCUGUUGGGUUGUAAAUGACUGGUGUGGAGGAAUCUUCCUUAGAUGGAGCUGGUUGUAAAAUGGGUAGGGUUUGUGGUUUAACAGUGGGAAGGCGCAAGUUAGCCACAAAUUCUGCCGACUUGGUAGAUGCCGUAUCUAAUUUGGGCUUUGGGACGUCUUCUGGACUAAAAGGGAUCCGUGGGCCCGAAGUGGUCCCUGGGAAUGGUCUCUCCCAGGGUGUGGAUUUGAUACUGGGUGGUUGAGUGGCAACAGUGGUUCUGGCCCCUUUUGUUCAUUAGCUUUUAUGACUUAGGGCCUGGCUGUGUAUACCAGGCUGGCCUGGGUUCACAGCCCUGCUCAGAUGACAGUGUCCUGAAACAAUGGCCUUCCAAGGUGAAACCUGAGUUAUGGAUCAAGCUUGGGAAUAAUACUUUUGGCACCAGAUAUGGGACUUGUGGGAGAAAGCAGGGCUCAGCUUGGCAUUGGUGGGUUGAAGGAGUCGGGGUGCGGGUGAGGAUUGUGCCUGGAACCGUGGGUUGAUGGGAAUAACAGUUUGGGAACUAAAUAGUUCACAUGAAAAUCUAAAGGCUGAUGGUAAAUCCCUGCAGGUGGCACUACUUUGAGAUGCAGUUGCUUGGAAAAUACCAAAAUCCUACAAGGGGAAGAGCAAAAUUGUUUUGCUUCACUGUUGAAUGGGGAAGGGUGACAUUGAAAAGCUUUUCUUAGUUGCUCAAUAGAUGGUUGUCACUACCCUGACCUAGGCAGGCCACAGGGGUGGAGCCUGGUGGGGGGAAGCUGAUUGCCAAGAAGUGAAGCUGGGGAGGGGCUUGUAAACGCCUCCCGUUGUGGGCUCUGAAACCAUAGUAUGGGGAGGUUGGCAGACUCUUCUGGGUCUCUAUUGAAAUUCUGUCAUACUGUGUGAUUAAGAAUUCCAAUGCUGCUAUCUAAAGGAAUUUCAUAUGGGAGUCAUGCCUUAUACAACACAUACAGGAAUUUAAUGUGUGAGCCAUGCCUUCAAAACACAUCUUGAAUUUCUGGAAUUGGCCAGAAGACAACAGGGUUUGCUUAUUUAACCUUUCAAAUCAGUCAUUGUGACAAGGGGACAGGGUCUUGCGCUUGCUAUGAGAUCAUUGUGAUGCUUGUAGAAACCUCAUGAGUGCUUUGCCACUGAAUACAUCCAUUGUGGGUUUGGCUUGAAUGGUGCUUAAAAACCAUCCCUGAGCAGAGGGGAAGCUGUUAAACUGUCAGUCAAAGCAGUUUGGGAAAUAAAAGAGACUGGGCCCUGGGUCAUCUUACUAGAUAACACUUUGUAAAAAUUGGUUCUGAAAACCCUGUUUAUUUGCAUAUUUGUGAAAACCCUGUAUAUGUGGUUGUUUUGUGAGUGUGCUUAAAAGUGGUGUGACCAGGGCAAGAUCGCUCAUUGGAACAGCUGUGUGGAAUGGGGAAAUGUGAAGAAAGCUGUAACUGCAGGUUGGUCGCACACGCUUCUCUGUACUAAAGUGUUCAGUGUACAAACCCACUAACCAUUUUCCUCCCCUUUACAGCAAAAUAAAGGUUUGAGAUUGAAGCUUC